UACAGGGGGUGCGAGCGUUGUUCGGAAUUACUGGGCGUAAAGCGCGUGUAGGCGGUCUAAUAAGUCAGAUGUGAAAGCCUGGGGCUUAACUCCAGAAGUGCAUUUGAAACUGUUAGGCUAGAGUGAUGUAGAGGAUGGCGGAAUACCCAGUGUAGAGGUGAAAUUCGUAGAGAUUGGGUAGAACACCGGUGGCGAAGGCGGCCAUCUGGGCAUUACUGACGCUGAGACGCGAAAGCGUGGGGAGCAAACAGG
rnacentral:rRNA from 1 species